rnacentral:rRNA from 1 species
UAUGGAGGGUGCAAGCGUUAUCCGGAUUCACUGGGUUUAAAGGGUGCGUAGGUGGGUUGGUAAGUCAGUGGUGAAAUCCCCGAGCUUAACUUGGGAACUGCCAUUGAUACUAUCAGUCUUGAAUACCGUGGAGGUUAGCGGAAUAUGUCAUGUAGCGGUGAAAUGCUUAGAUAUGACAUAGAACACCAAUUGCGAAGGCAGCUGGCUACACGAAUAUUGACACUGAGGCACGAAAGCGUGGGGAGCAAACAGG